UUAAUGGAGAGUUUGAUCCUGGCUCAGAGUUAACGCUGGCUGCGUGCAUAACACAUGCAAGUCGAACGGGGAUUUUUAGCGUAGCAAUACGUUGAAAAUUCUAGUGGCAGACGGGUGAGUAAUACAUAAGGAAUCUACCCAAAAGUGGGGAAUAACUAGUUGAAAGAUUAGCUAAUACCCCAUAAUAUAGGAAGAUGGCAUCAUCUUUCUCUUAAAGAUUUUUCGCUUUUGGACGAUCUUAUGGUCUAUCAGCUAGUUGGUAGGGUAACGGCCUA
rnacentral:rRNA from 1 species